UACGUAGGAUGCAAGCGUUGCUCGGAAUCACUGGGCGUAAAGAGCGCGUAGGUGGUUUGGUAAGUCAGAAGUGAAAGCCCUCGGCUUAACCGGGGAACUGCUUUUGAAACUGCCAUGCUAGAGUACGGGAGAGGGAGGUAGAAUUCCUGGUGUAGCGGUGAAAUGCGUAGAUAUCAGGAAGAAUACCGGCGGCGAAGGCGGCCUCCUGGCCCGAUACUGACACUGAGGCGCGAAAGCGUGGGGAGCGAACAGG
rnacentral:rRNA from 1 species